CAGGGCCCAGUGAGCCAAAUACCAGGCCUCAGUGUGGCAAAGAGUCAGACCAUAGUGAUGCAAAGAGUCAGGUUUCAGUGAGGAUAGCAUCGGGCCAUAGAUAGGACAUGGUCAGGACCUAGAGAGGACCAGAGUCAGGCUGUAGGAAGUACCAGGGUUAGGCCAUCGUGAAUAACUAGGGUCAGGUCAUAGUGAGGACCAGAGUCAGGGCUAGUGGCAAAAAAGUCAGGUCCCAGUGAGGGCCUGACUGAGCCUGACAGCAGAGUCAAGCUGUUGUGAGGCAGAGAUUCAGGCUGAGCGAGGCAAAAUUCAGGCCACAGUGAGGCAUAGAGUCAGGCUGCAGUGAGGACCAGAGUGAGGCCAUAGUGAGGACAAGGGUUAGGAUGUAGUGAGGACCUGGGUGAGGCUUCAGUGAGGACCAGAGUCAGGCCAUAGAGAGGAGCAGGGUCAGACUGUAGUUAGGACCCUUUGGAGGACCAGAGUCAGGGCCCAGUGAGGACUGGAGUCAGGCACCUGUGACAAAAUAGUUAGGCCCAAGUGAGGGAGAGUCAGGCUGAAUGAGACAGAGUCAGGCCACAAAGUCAGCUGCAGUGAGGACCAGAGCCAUGGCCCGGUGAGGACCAGAGUCAGGCCCAGUGAGGAUAAGAGUCAGCUCAAGUGAGGACAAGGUUAGGACAAACUGAGGACCAGAGUAGGGCACAGUGAGGACCAGAGUCAGGCCAUAGAGGACAGAGACAGGCCAUAGUGAGGACUUUGUCAGGCCCUGGUGAGAAUGAGAGUCAGGCCCUAGUGAGGCCCAGACUCAGACUGUAGUGAGGACCAGCCUAGGGAGCAGUGAGGAUGAGUGUCAGCACUAGUGGGGACAAGAGUCAGGCUCUAGUGAGGAUGAGAGGGCCAGAGUCAGGUCCCAGUGAGGCAAAGGGUCAGGCCAUAGAGAGUACAGAGCAGAGCCACAGAGAGAGCCAGAGUCAGGUCCGCAUGAGGAAGAGAGUCACCAGAGAGUGAGGACCAGAGUCUGGCCAUAGUGAGGACAAGACUCAAAUCACCAUAGAGAGAAGAGGAGUCAGGCUGUAGAGAGACAGUCAUGCCAUAGAGAGGACCAGUGUCUGGGCCCAGUAAGGAGAAGACUCAGGGCUCAGUGAGGACAAGAGUCAGGGCCUAGUGAUAGAUAGUGUCAGGUAAUAGGAAAAGAGAGGGCAUACAGUGAGGGCCAGAGCAAGGCUGUAAUGAGGACCAGAGUGAGGCCUUAGUGAGGGGCAUGGUGAGGCCCUAGUGUGUACGAGAGUCAGGCAUUAGUGAGGAUGAGAGUCUGAGACCAGUGAGCCAAACAGUCAGGUCCCUUUGUGGCAAAGAGUCAGGCCACAGUGUGACAAAGUGUCAGACCACAGUGAUGCAAAAAGACAGGUUGUAGUGAGGCAAAGUGUCUGACUUCGCGACUCCAUGGACUGUAGCCUGCCAGACUCCUCCAUCCAGGCAAGAAUACUGAAAUGGGUUGCCAUUUCCUUCUCUAGGGGAUCUUCCCAACCCAGGGCUUGAACCUGGGCGUCUGCACUGCAGGCAGACUCUUUACCAUCUGAGCCACCAGGGAAGACCAGAGCCAUUAUAAGAGCUAUGCAAUUGGAUAUUUGAACAAUUUAUCUCUAAUAUGAAAAUAAAAGUGUAAUUUCUCAGUUGUCUCAGACUCUUUGUGACUCCAUGGACUGUAGCCUACCAGGCUCAUCCAUCCAUGGGAUUUCCC
ensembl:lncRNA